rfam:Eucalyptus grandis cultivar BRASTZ1 unplaced genomic scaffold scaffold_1, whole genome shotgun sequence.
CAGUCAGAGGAAUGAUGUAUUACCAUCGAGCACUUAAGGUGAUGGCUUUUCUUGAUUCUGCAUCAGAGGUGGAAAUUCAGG